rnacentral:SRP_RNA from 1 species
GCUGGGUGUGGUGGCGUGUGCCUGUAAUCCCAGCUACUUGGGAGGCUGAGACAGGAGAAUUGCUUGAGCCUGGGAGGUGGAGGUUGCAGUGAGCCGAGAUUGCGCCAUUGAACUCCAGCCUGGGCAACAGAGCAAGACUCCGUCUCAA